rnacentral:rRNA from 1 species
UACGGGGGGGGCAAGCGUUGUUCGGAAUUACUGGGCGUAAAGGGCUCGUAGGUGGCCAACUAAGUCAGACGUGAAAUCCCCAGGCUCAACUUGGGAACUGCGUCUGAUACUGGAUGGCUUGAAUUCGGGAGAGGGAUGCAGAAUUCCAGGUGUAGCGGUGAAAUGCGUAGAUAUCUGGAGGAAUACCGGUGGCGAAGGCGGCAUCCUGGACCGACACUGACGCUGAGGAGCGAAAGCCAGGGGAGCAAACGGG